rnacentral:lncRNA from 1 species
AUAAUGAGGCUGGACUGGCAAAGAAUCAGGCAGAUUUCCAGCAGGAAGGGGCGUCAGAUGGUACCAGAUCCAGAGGCCUCAUCUUCCAAAGAGGAAACAGGUUGAGACAUCCACGAAGGGAUUCAUGGGCAGUUCUGGAUCUGGAUCCGGAGAGGCAGUUUUUGCAAAGGCGGUUUCAAUUCAGUCCUGAGAAAGCGACCAGCACGGAUCCCACGAAAGCAGCAGGAGGAUGUGGGUCCCCAAUGGAGUGGAGGCCUGGAAAGAGGGGACAUGGGUGACGAGUCUUCGAUACUGGAAGGGCAGCCUACCUGAGAGGAGCUGUUGAGGCCCCAGCCAUGCCGCCCACAGUCGAGGGUGCCCUGCAGGCCUCUGGCCCCCAGGAAGGCAGGGCAGGAGUCCUGCAUCCUUGCCCAGCAUGGCGGCCAGAAAGUGUCGGGCUUCUACUGAUGCUGCCUCAAUCACAAAAACCAUGAGCUCCAUGGAGUUCGUAAGGAGACAGUUCUCCUCACCACUUCCUGGAAACCAGGAGACAGGGAAUAGCCCCAAGCCAGCCAGGUCUUGCCAGCAUGAUGAGGAAGUCCCCUCUGCUGGAACCUUCCAAGGAAAACCUCUUGGAAAUGACCAAUCUGCUUUUUGUUCUGUGUCUGCCUCCUCAGCCCCUUUCUGUUUACAGAACCAACCUCCUCUACCCAGCACGCAGGAGCCCUCGUUCUGUUUUAUAGAAUGGGGUGUUUCCCAGUUCUAGAAUUGCAAAUAAAGCCAAGUUUGUGGUAAUUUUGUCUCUAUCAAAUUGAAAACAAGGAAACUUUCAUUCUUUUUAAUCUGGUACUUUUC